rnacentral:misc_RNA from 1 species
AAGUCGUAACAAGGUUUCCGUAGGUGAACCUGCGGAAGGAUCAUUACCAUAUCCAAAAUUUAUCAACCCACUGUGUGAACCGUUUUUCGAGGGAGACUAGAGAAAGAGGCUUUUUUCUUCUUUUUUUUAAUGGUCUUUUUUCUUGGAAAAUACUCGUGUUAUUUGGGGGGAAGGCUCGUAACUGAGUUGGAACCCCAUUAGCAUUUUUUCUGAGUGGAAGGCUGUUUCUUAUGGGAAGGCGAAGGUCUUUUUUCUGUGGUUCUUCCAAACAAAAAUUAACACCUUGUCAAACCAAAGCUCUUUUUUUUCAAAAAAAAGCAUACUAACUUGAUUUUUUGUGGCAACACAAGAAACCAUUAAAACAAAACCAAUAGACAACUUACAACGGUGGAUCUCUUGGCUCGU